rnacentral:rRNA from 1 species
UACGGGGGGGGCAAGCGUUGUUCGGAAUUACUGGGCGUAAAGGGCUCGUAGGCGGCCAACUAAGUCAUACGUGAAAUCCCUCGGCUUAACCGGGGAACUGCGUCUGAUACUGGAUGGCUUGAGUUCGGGAGAGGGAUGCGGAAUUCCAGGUGUAGCGGUGAAAUGCGUAGAUAUCAGGAGGAACACCGAUGGCGAAGGCAGGUCUCUGGGACGGUACUGACGCUGAGACGCGAAAGCGUGGGGAGCGAACAGG